AAUAUUCUAAGAUGGGCUAGGGGAUUUUGCCAAUAGAGGGCUUCGUGUGAAAACUAGUUAUUUUUCAUACCACUUGGUGCGCUGUAUUCCCAUUCACAAAAUGAUGACGUAGACAUAUUAAGCUGAAAAUAGCGGUAAACUUGACAGCAAAGAAGGUCCUAUUUGAAUAUAUUAUAUGAUAUUUACGUGUUUGAAUAAUGCAUAUUAUAAAUUUUAAAGCUAUCAAGAUGUUUCCAAGAUCUUUAAGAGAAAAUGAAUUAUUUGGUCAUGUGAGGUAGAAACAUAAUCAUUUACUAUUCUUUUUACAGGUGUUUCAUUCCAUGUGAGCCUUCAUGUAAUGUUCAGGAUUGUAUAUUAUGAAGGCAUGGCUUAUUUUUUGUAAGGUUACCCAUAUUAUCUUUGAAUAGUGAUAUAAAAAGACCUGAGAAUAUUAUGUGACAGAGUUUGCAUUAGAUGAGGACACGUACUAUGCUGUCUUGGUAAGUAUUCAAUCCAUUAUAUGGGACUCUCUUAGAUUUAGAUUUUGGAUUUGGGUUGUUUUUACUAAAUUGAAUGAAGGCAGUUUAUCUCUGCAAUAACUGUAACUCUGCUAUAAGAUAUGCUUGACAUAAGGCAAUAACAAAUCUAUAUAAUUUUAAAAUAAUCCUGUUUUAAUAAAAGAAAUCGCUACAUUUGUUUGUGUAUUAAAAUAAGUUAAAAGACAUAAUUUGGAGAAUUUUAGUAUUCUGUAUUAGAUCUGAUAUUUGACUUAUUCUCCACCCAACACCAAUUUUUGUAUUUUGUUAAACAUGAAGACAUAUUGAACUGACUAGGACUUAUUAUUUUUUUCACUUGUGUCUAUUGUGCUUAGAAUUGUGGAAGAAAGGAGGGUAAAUUCACCUAUGUCAAUUCCCUUGGAGAUACUGACCAAGAAAAGGACAUUAUCACAAGAAACUGGGGCAACUUCUCCAGAAGAAAAAAAAGGGUGCCAGUUUGUCACCAUUGAACAUGAAAAACAACUAAAUGGCUACACUUGUCGGCUGUGGUGUACACAUGCAGUGCAGUACCUGUUGGAAUAUGGCUUGGGCAAAUUAACAAAGAUGUGCCAUCCAGACUUUUUAAUGGGCUAAAUGUAGCCAUUCUGGUUUUAAGAAAUAUUGUUGUUGCAGACAAAAGCCACUUCAAAAUAAUACCUAUCGGCAUAAGAGCAGAUUAAUUUUGUCAUAAUGCAACACUUGUGACAGUUUUUUUUUAAAUUAUACAAGUGCAAAAGGGAAUCUUAACUGGUCCAGUGAAUAUAACUGUGACAUGUCGUUAUUUAAUGCAAAAACAAUAAUGGAUCCAGAAUAAUUUUGUAAGAGACCACUACUACCAAAUCCUGGAAAUAAUUUUACUAUUAUAUACUGUCAUAUAUAUAUAUAUAUAUAUAUAUAUAUAUAUAUAUAUAAAGAAUAUUGAAUCAAACUUUUGCAUUAA